rnacentral:rRNA from 1 species
UCCUGGCUCAGAUUGAACGCUGGCGGCAUGCCUUACACAUGCAAGUCGAACGGUAGAGGGGGCAACCCCUCGAGAGUGGCGAACGGGUGAGUAAUAUAUCGGGAACGUGCCCAGUCGUGGGGGAUAACGUAGCGAAAGUUACGCUAAUACCGCAUACGAUCUACGGAUGAAAGCGGGGGAUCGCAAGACCUCGCGCGAUUGGAGCGGCCGAUAUCAGAUUAGGUAGUUGGUGAGGUAAAGGCUCACCAAGCCAACGAUCUGUAGCUGGUCUGAGAGGACGACCAGCCACACUGGAACUGAGACACGGUCCAGACUCCUACGGGAGGCAGCAGUGGGGAAUUUUGGACAAUGGACGCAAGUCUGAUCCAGCCAUUCCGCGUGCAGGAUGAAGGCCCUCGGGUUGUAAACUGCUUUUGUACGGAACGAAAAGGUUUCUAUUAAUACUAGGAGCUCAUGACGGUACCGUAAGAAUAAGCACCGGCUAACUACGUG